UACGUAGGGUGCGAGCGUUGUCCGGAAUUAUUGGGCGUAAAGAGCUCGUAGGCGGUGUGUCGCGUCGGCCGUGAAAACCUGGGGCUUAACUCUGGGCGUGCGGUCGAUACGAGCAUCACUAGAGUUCGGCAGGGGAGACUGGAAUUCCUGGUGUAGCGGUGAAAUGCGCAGAUAUCAGGAGGAACACCGGUGGCGAAGGCGGGUCUCUGGGCCGAUACUGACGCUGAGGAGCGAAAGCGUGGGGAGCAAACAGG
rnacentral:rRNA from 1 species